CCUACGGGAGGCAGCAGUAGGGAAUCUUCCGCAAUGGACGAAAGUCUGACGGAGCAACGCCGCGUGAACGAUGAAGGCCUUCGGGUCGUAAAGUUCUGUUGUUAGGGAAGAACAAGUGCUAGUUGAAUAAGCUGGCACCUUGACGGUACCUAACCAGAAAGCCACGGCUAACUACGUGCCAGCAGCCGCGGUAAUACGUAGGUGGCAAGCGUUGUCCGGAAUUAUUGGGCGUAAAGCGCGCGCAGGCGGUUUCUUAAGUCUGAUGUGAAAGCCCCCGGCUCAACCGGGGAGGGUCAUUGGAAACUGGGAAACUUGAGUGCAGAAGAGGAAAGUGGAAUUCCAAGUGUAGCGGUGAAAUGCGUAGAGAUUUGGAGGAACACCAGUGGCGAAGGCGACUUUCUGGUCUGUAACUGACGCUGAGGCGCGAAAGCGUGGGGAGCAAACAGGAUUAGAUACCCUGGUAGUCCACGCUGUAAACGAUGAGUGCUAAGUGUUAGAGGGUUUCCGCCUUUAGUGCUGAAGUUAACGCAUUAAGCACUCCGCCUGGGGAGUACGGUCGCAGACUGAAACUUAAGGAAUUGACG
rnacentral:rRNA from 1 species